UGUUCGCCAGCCAAGCGAAAAAGCUAAAGGGACGCGCGCUUUCUGUGCAAACAUGCAGUCGCUGUUUUCUUAUGUCUUACUGUUAAUUUCAGCAUUAUUGCUGGAAGUACCUAUCGCCUCAGGCAAAGCAAAACACCAACUGAAACACGAUGUCACGGAUGCAUUUAAGAUGUUUGAGGUCUUCCCUUACGCUAUUGCCGCGUUUGAUGCGGAUGACGAUGGAGAUCUGGACUGUGCGAUGGUUGUGCGGCAACAGCUCGAUGAGAACCAGAAGAAAGCUGCUUACGUAUUUGUGCUACCACCCGUCAAUGGACAUCAACCAGAGAACCACACCUACUAUGUAAAAGAAGGAUCAACAACCGACAAACCUGUCUACACGGUGGAUGACGGU